rnacentral:rRNA from 1 species
GCCCCUUAUGACCUGGGCUACACACGUGCUACAAUGGUUGGUACAACGAGUUGCGAGUCGGUGACGGCGAGCUAAUCUCUUAAAGGCCAAUCUCAGUUCGGAUUGUAGGCUGCAACUCGCCUACAUGAAGUCGGAAUCGCUAGUAAUCGCGGAUCAGCCAUGCCGCGGUGAAUUACCGGUUCCCGGGCCUU